rnacentral:rRNA from 1 species
ACGGCUACCUUGUUACGACUUCACCCCAGUCAUGAAUCACAAAGUGGUAAGCGCCCUCCCGAAGGUUAAGCUACCUACUUCUUUUGCAACCCACUCCCAUGGUGUGACGGGCGGUGUGUACAAGGCCCGGGAACGUAUUCACCGUGGCAUUCUGAUCCACGAUUACUAGCGAUUCCGACUUCAUGGAGUCGAGUUGCAGACUCCAAUCCGGACUACGACGCACUUUAUGAGGUCCGCUUGCUCUCGCGAGGUCGCUUCUCUUUGUAUGCGCCAUUGUAGCACGUGUGUAGCCCUACUAGUAAGGGCCAUGAUGACUUGACGUCAUCCCCACCUUCCUCCAGUUUAUCACUGGCAGUCUCCUUUGAGUUCCCGGCCUAACCGCUGGCAACAAAGG